GGUAGACUAGCAAACAUGCCCAACCUUUACUCACAUUCGAGAAAACACUCCCAACAAGAUUGCUUGCUCCAAAAUCGAAGAGGCACCGCCUUCCGAAUCUCGAGAGCCAGACUCCCAACAUGAUUACUUUCUCAAAAAUCGAAGAGACACUGCUCCCCGAAUCUUCGAGAGCCAAACCCCCAGCAUGAUUGUUUUCUCAAAAAUCGAUGAGGCAUCGUUCUCCGAAUCAAUCGAAGAGGCGCUCGCUUUUUCUCAAAAGCUGGGCUGCUCAGAGACCACGAGGGCCGAUCUCAGAAAUCGAAGAGGCACCUACUUUUCUAGCCUUGUCAGCACCUGUCACACGCACACUCAGCUGCUUUGCAGAAAUUAUGGGCAUUCUGUCGAAGAUUUCUAGUGAAGUAGAAAGCAUAUGAAUCUUACUGUUCAAUUACCCACUUCCCACAACGCAACAAUAGCUCAUGGGUACCACAUAUAACUUUGUCAAAGUUCUCUGCCAAAGUUGAGCACGUGAAGCUUGCAGCUCCCACUACAUCGCUCUGACCAAGAAAGGUAAAAGAAUAGCAAAGAAACAGCACUAACAAAGUUUAGACACAUAAAUUUUGAAGGUCUAGCUACCAUAAUAUUACCCACAAGGGUAAAGGAACAGUACCACUGCUGGAUAAUUGGAAAGUCCCUGUGUGUCAACCUCUGUGCUUCGUGGCAAGGUAGACUAGCAAAACAUGCCCAACCUUUACUCACAUUCGAGAAAACACUCCCAACAAGAUUGCUUGCUCCAAAAUCGAAGAGGCACCGUCCUCCGAAUCUCGAGAGCCAGACUCCCAACAUGACUACUUUCUCAAAAUCGAAGAGAGGGUAAAGGAACAGUACCAUUGCUGGAUAAUUGGAAAGUCCCUGUGUGUCAACCUUUGUGCUUCGUGGCAAGGUAGACUAGCAAACAUGCCCAACCUUUACUCAAAUUCGAGACAACACUCCCAACAAGAUUGCUUGCUCCAAAAUCGAAGAGGCACCGCCCUCCGAAUCUCGAGAGCCAGACUCCCAACAUGAUUACUUACUCAAAAAUCGAAGAGACACACUGCCCUCCGAAUCUCGAGAGCCAGACCCCCAGCAUGAUUGCUUUCUCAAAAAUCGAAGAGGCAUCGUUCUCCGAAUCUCGAGAGCCAGAUACCACAGACCAC
rnacentral:lncRNA from 1 species